UAGUUGGUACUGAUGACGGUGAGGGUCCACCCGUUCCCAUCCCGAACACGGAAGUUAAGCUCACUGGUGCCGAAGAUACUUGGCUGGUAACGGCCCGGGACAAUAGGAAGGUGCCANCCUG
rnacentral:rRNA from 1 species